rnacentral:rRNA from 1 species
AUUGAACGCUGGCGGCAUGCCUUACACAUGCAAGUCGAACGGCAGCACGGGAGCAAUCCUGGUGGCGAGUGGCGAACGGGUGAGUAAUAUAUCGGAACGUGCCCAGUCGUGGGGAUAACGUAGCGAAAGCUACGCUAAUACCGCAUACGAUCUAUGGAUGAAAGCGGGGGAUCGCAAGACCUCGCGCGAUUGGAGCGGCCGAUAUCAGAUUAGGUAGUUGGUGAGGUAAAGGCUCACCAAGCCGACGAUCUGUAGCUGGUCUGAGAGGACGACCAGCCACACUGGGACUGAGACACGGCCCAGACUCCUACGGGAGGCAGCAGUGGGGAAUUUUGGACAAUGGCGCAAGCCUGAUCCAGCAAUGCCGCGUGCAGGAUGAAGCCUCGGUUGUAACUAGCUUUGUACGUAACGAACGGU